UAGGGUUUGAUUAUGGCUCAGAUUGAACGCUGGCGGAAUGCUUUACACAUGCAAGUCGAACGGCAGCAUAGAGAGCUUGCUCUCUGAUGGCGAGUGGCGAACGGGUGAGUAACAUAUCGGAACGUGCCUAGUAAUGGGGAACAACUAAUCGAAAGAUUAGCUAAUACCGCAUACGACCUACGGGUGAAAGCAGGGGAUCUUCGGACCUUGCGUUAUUAGAGCGGCCGAUAUCUGAUUAGGUAGUUGGUAGGGUAAAGGCCUACCAAGCCAACGAUCAGUAGCUGGUCUGAGAGGACGAUCAGCCACACUGGAACUGAGACACGGUCCAGACUCCUACGGGAGGCAGCAGUGGGGAAUUUUGGACAAUGGGGGCAACCCUGAUCCAGCCAUUCCGCGUGAGUGAAGAAGGCCUUCGGGUUGUAAAGCUCUUUCGCAAGAGAAGAAAUCUUAUCGUCUAAUAAACGAUAAGGAUGA
rnacentral:rRNA from 1 species